GACGAACGCUGGCGGCGUGCUUAACACAUGCAAGUCGAACGGUAAGGCCCUGCUUUUGUGGGGUGCUCGAGUGGCGAACGGGUGAGUAACACGUGAGUAACCUGCCCUUGACUUUGGGAUAACUUCAGGAAACUCGGGCUAAUACCGGAUAUGAGCUCCUGCUGCAUGGUGGGGGUUGGAAAGUUUCGGCGGUUGGGGAUGGACUCGCGGCUUAGCAGCUUGUUGGUGGGGUAGUGGCUUACCAAGGCUUUGACGGGUAGCCGGCCUGAGAGGGUGACCGGCCACAUUGGGACUGAGAUACGGCCCAGACUCCUACGGGAGGCAGCAGUGGGGAAUAUUGCACAAUGGGCGGAAGCCUGAUGCAGCAACGCCGCGUGCGGGAUGACGGCCUUCGGGUUGUAAACCGCUUUCGCCUGUGACGAAGCGUGAGUGACGGUAAUGGGUAAAGAAGCACCGGCUAACUACGUG
rnacentral:rRNA from 1 species